GAUGAACGCUAGCGGCAGGCUUAACACAUGCAAGUCGAGGGGUAUUGGUUUUCGGACCAAGAGACCGGCGCACGGGUGCGUAACGCGUAUGCAAUCUACCUUUUGCAGAGGGAUAGCCCAGAGAAAUUUGGAUUAAUACCUCAUAGUAUAGUACUUUGGCAUCAAGGAACUAUUAAAGUCACAACGGCAAAAGAUGAGCAUGCGUCCCAUUAGCUAGUUGGUAAGGUAACGGCUUACCAAGGCUACGAUGGGUAGGGGUCCUGAGAGGGAGAUCCCCCACACUGGUACUGAGACACGGACCAGACUCCUACGGGAGGCAGCAGUGAGGAAUAUUGGACAAUGGGCGCAAGCCUGAUCCAGCCAUGCCGCGUGCAGGAUGACGGUCCUAUGGAUUGUAAACUGCUUUUAUACAGGAGAAACACUCCGACGUGUCGGAGCUUGACGGUACUGUAAGAAUAAGGAUCGGCUAACUCCGUGCCAGCAG
rnacentral:rRNA from 1 species